GAUGUUAUUUAUUUAUUUUAUUAUUCUCCUCCUGCUUCCUGCUGUUUAUACACAGGCAGCUGGGAGUUUACAGGAAGCAGGGAAAAGGCUGCAGCCUCCAAAGCCGCUAAGUUUUAAGAGUGUGACCGGGAGGGGGGGGCAAAUUGCACUCGAGCGAUAAUCUACACAAAUCCCCCCUGCGGCUCAAGCCCCCUGCUGACACCGCGACGCCGAUUAUUUCAUCCGCUGCUCAAGGAUCAUCUCCCGCCGGCCGCGCAGGAGCGAGAAGGAGACAUGAUGGAGAUAGAAAGCGUUCUGUUAAUGGGUGUGCUUCCUUCCCCCACAUCCUCCUCCUCCUCCUCCCCACCUCCUCCCCCCAAAUUAAACGAGUGAACCAAAGAGCCCGUUCCGGUGAAACAUUUCACCUGGUGAGGGAUGCGGUCACAGCCCUGCUCUGCGCUCCAUCCUUUGUUCCAGCUGAGAGGAAAGAGAGAAAACGACUUUCAGACGGAGCGCCGUUUUUAUCCGAGUCCACGGAGAGGAGGAGCGGUCAUCCUCUUCCACUCGCCCGGGUAAACACCACCCCACGACCGGAUUCAAACUGUUAGGAGCUCCGUGGCGGCAGGUCCCCUCAGGUCCGACUGUCCGAUCUGAGGUCCGGGGAGCGCGAGGUGCAUGUCUCCUCCCCUCAUCGCGGCAGGUGCGAUUCCCCUCAAAGUGUCCGCCAUGCGUCCGAGGCAACAAAAACAAACAAAACACCAGGAUGAAACUAAUCAACACUGAAAUGUGCUGCUAGCCGCGACGCUCUGCCUUGUGUUGUCAUGAGCUCUUUUUUUUUUUUUACCCUUUUUUAUGUCCACAUUCUCACCGUCAAACCCGCUCGUUAAGCAGCGCAGAGGAGGAAAAAAACAGCUUAUCUCCAGGCGGUUUGUCGCACAGAAACCGGUCAAACGCAGGAAACAAAAUGGUUUUAUUUUGUCACAUUAAAAAAGAAUUAAAAAAAAGAGGGGUCUCUCCUUCAGUACACAGCUCAGUACGCCCAUCAAUUGAGCAUCUUAAACGUACAGAGCAACCUAACCUGGGGAGGACGGAGGAAUGACAAGCCCGGCGUCCAAUUAAAAGUCCGGAAAUGGAUCCGGGGAGGCGGGAGGACGUGGUUUGGGCUCACCGUGUCUUUGAUCUUCAUGCUCACUUGAGGCCAAKAGGAGGCAGCGUGAAUCACAACGAUACGGACAGACAAGGUGGGGGCUGAUGGGGGUGGAUGAGCUGCUGGCUUCAUGGGGAGCUACAGAAUCUGAGUCCACAGGGAGGAGAGUGCACCCAGUCGGCUGUAACAGAGAUAUCAGUGGUACAGGAUCUGAAGAGCUCCACCUCAGAGCCAGUUUUACUCCUGGGACUGAAGAGAAUGCUUUGAAGCUGCUUCUGAUUAUGCAUACCUGUGCACACAAGCACAGCUGACAGCACGCCCGCGGAGCUCCGUGAAGAAAAGGGAAGAAGAAAAGGCCCCCUGCAGAGGAGAUGUUGAAGAUCGUAGCUGGAGCUGACAGUGAGGACUUUAGAGGCUCACCCUCAAAAAAGCUGAAAGUGAUGAAGAAGAGAGUAGAGGUGAAGGUGGGCCUGUUAUUUAGAGACACUUCACAAAAUUACAUAAAAAAGUUUGUGAUGUGAAACAGAAGAGGAAAAGGUUUACAAAGCAGAGUCGAGUCAGUAAAGACAGCAAGGUUUAUGUCAACUUAUAAAAUAGUUUUCCAUGUCAUCUCUCAAAUUAUGGUUUAUUUAAAACCAACAAGUCAUAUCUGACCUUUUGUAUGACACUCAUGCUAACAGCUCAAUGGAGACAUCGCUGCUAAAACUGACAACAUUGUUUCAGAACCAUCCAGGAAGUCAAGAAUUACAAAAUAAAUAAAUCUGUUUUGACAGUCCUGUGUCAAAAUUAGCCAAAAGACGUUUUUUUCCGUGACAUGAUCUACUUCCAGCCCUCUUCAUAUUGAGACUAUUUUUUAAAAAUAAUUCCGAGCACAGAGCUGUUGCAGAUCCGAUGCU